UACGAAGGGGGCUAGCGUUGUUCGGAAUUACUGGGCGUAAAGCGCGCGCAGGCGGUCUUCCAAGUCAGUGGUGAAAGCCCGGAGCUCAACUCCGGAACUGCCAUUGAAACUGUUAGACUUGAGGAUGAGAGAGGUGAGUGGAAUUCCCAGUGUAGAGGUGAAAUUCGUAGAUAUUGGGAAGAACACCGGUGGCGUAGGCGGCUUUCUGGACAGUAACUGACGCUGAGGCGCGAAAGCUAGGGGAGCAAACAGG
rnacentral:rRNA from 1 species